rnacentral:rRNA from 1 species
AUGCUCUCUCGCGUCGAUGAAUCGAUCCCGUCGCAAUCCAUGCAAAUAUGCAGUAAUAAACUCGCCACGAUUUGCUCCAAAAAAAAGGAAAAGAGAGAAAAAAACUCGCCACGAUUUGCUCCAAAAAAAGGAAAAGAGAGAAAAAAACUCGCCACGAUUUGCUCCAAAAAAAGGAAAAGAGAGAAAAAAACUCGCCACGGCAUCUCCGUCAAAAAAACCCAGCACGAGGAGAACAUGCGUGGUGGGAACGAGGUCCAGACCUCUCACGAGCAAAACAUGGGCGAAUUGAUCCCUGGAUCUCGUCGGAGAAGAAGACUUGAUUAA